UACAGAGGGUGCGAGCGUUAAUCGGAAUUACUGGGCGUAAAGCGUGCGUAGACGGUUAUGUAAGUCAGGUGUGAAAGCCCCGGGCUCAACCUGGGAAUUGCAUUGAGACUGCAAGCUAGAGCUAGGGGUGCGGAAGAGGGGGAUGGAAUUCCGCGUGUAGCAGUGAAAUGCGUAGAUAUGCGGAGGAACACCGAUGGCGAAGGCAAUCCCCUGGGCCUGCACUGACGCUCAUGCACGAAAGCGUGGGGAGCAAACAGG
rnacentral:rRNA from 1 species